UACGUAGGGACCGAGCGUUGUCCGGAAUCAUUGGGCGUAAAGAGCGUGUAGGCGGCCACUUAAGUCCUGCGUGAAAUCUUGCGGCUCAACCGCAAGCGGUCGUGGGAAACUGGGUGGCUAGAGUGCGGGAGAGGAGAGUGGAAUUCCUGGUGUAGCGGUGGAAUGCGCAGAUAUCAGGAAGAACACCCGUGGCGAAGGCAGCACUCUGGGCCGGUACUGACGCUGAGGAGCGAAAGCGUGGGGAGCGAACAGG
rnacentral:rRNA from 1 species